rnacentral:rRNA from 1 species
UACAGAGGGUGCGAGCGUUGUUCGGAAUUAUUGGGCGUAAAGCGCGCGCAGGCGGCGCGAUAAGACCGGCGUGAAAGCCCCGGCUCAACCGGGGAGGGUCGUUGGUGACUGUCGCGCUUGAAGGCAGCAGGGGUGAGUGGAAUUCCCGGGUGUAGUGGUGAAAUGCGUAGAGAUCGGGAAGGAACACCCGUGGCGAAGGCGGCUCACUGGGCUGACCUGACGCUGAGGCGCGA